rnacentral:rRNA from 1 species
UGGGGAUGACGUCAAGUCCGCACUUGCUCCUUACGGUCUAGGGCUACACACGUCCUACAAUGGGGUCGACAGUGGGAUGCAAAGCCGCGAGGUGGAGCCAAUCCCAAACGGCCUCUCAGUUCGGAUAGUAGUCUGCAACUCGACUACUUGAAGUCGGAAUCGCUAGUAAUGGCGGAUCAGCAUGCCGCCGUGAAUACGUUCCCGGGUCUU